rnacentral:sRNA from 1 species
CCCGCCCGGCGUUCCGUAUGGACAGCUAGGGCCUGCUACGGGUAUUGCGGGCUUCUAAAGAAGAGGCCCGGCUGAGCGGCAUCUUCAUUCUGCGCUCGACGAGUCUGGUCUGGGUCUGGCACAGGGCGUGGUGGCGUCGCCGAGGGCGGGGCGUGGAGGUCCUCCGGCUUCCGCUUUUCCGGGUUCUUGGACCAAGUCCUGUCCUUGAACAGCUUGUGGGCACCGGAAUCUUGGGACAUUCAAUGGCCGCAUCUGUGCAGAUUCUUGUGAUCUGAAUCCUGAUGGAGUAAGAGCUGACAAAGGAGAGGUCAGAAAGUCUGUCUCUGCCAAGCCACAGAAUUUGAUGCGCCAGUCAAAAGAACUUGGCAGCAAAAUAUAAGCUAUAGGGACCCUGUGAGGUGUCACCCACACAUAGAAGAUUGGGUACGGAAAUUUCUCUCCAGUCCUGACACGAAGGGAUGC